rnacentral:rRNA from 1 species
GACGAACGCUGGCGGCGUGCUUAACACAUGCAAGUCGAACGGAAAGGCCCCAGCUUGCUGGAGUGCUCGAGUGGCGAACGGGUGAGUAACACGUGAGCAAUCUGCCCUGCACUCUGGGAUAAGCCUGGGAAACUGGGGCUAAUACCGGAUAGGACCUUCUGCUGCAUGGGGGGGGGUGGAAAGUUUCGCGGUGCGGGAUGGGCCCGCGGCCUAUCAGCUUGUUGGUGGGGUAAUGGCCUACCAAGGCGACGACGGGUAGCCGGCCUGAGAGGGUGAUCGGCCACAUUGGGACUGAGAUACGGCCCAGACUCCUACGGGAGGCAGCAGUGGGGAAUAUUGCACAAUGGGCGGAAGCCUGAUGCAGCGACGCCGCGUGCGGGAUGACGGCCUUCGGGUUGUAAACCGCUUUCAGUAGUGACGAAGCGUAAGUGACGGUACCUGCAGAAGAAGCACCGGCUAACUACGUG